rnacentral:rRNA from 1 species
UACGGAGGGGGCUAGCGUUGUUCGGAAUUACUGGGCGUAAAGCGCGCGUAGGCGGACCUGCAAGUCGGGGGUGAAAGCCCGAGGCUCAACCUCGGAACUGCCUUCGAUACUGCGGGUCUCGAGUCCGGGAGAGGGAUGUGGAAUUCCAGGUGUAGCGGUGAAAUGCGUAGAUAUCUGGAGGAACACCGGUGGCGAAGGCGGCAUCCUGGACCGGUAUUGACGCUGAGGCGCGAAAGCUAGGGGAGCAAACGGG